rnacentral:lncRNA from 1 species
GUGCAGCCAGAUGUUGAUAAGGAGGUUAUCUGGUCCUCUCGACCAGUGAGGUUAAAAAACUUCUUCGCCAAAAUCUGAAAGUGUAGAUAUAUGCCUAAGUGUAUGAUAUCAUGGCAUUCACACACUUCACUCCAUCUAAUACAUCAAAUAAAGUGUUGGUAUUGCCUCUCUUUGAUUUCUUUCAUCAUGAAUGGAUAUGUGCAUAUCCUCAUAACUUAUUGUCUGUGUUGCUUGAAUAAGAAUUGCUUUAUUUGUUCAAGUGUUUUUAAUGUUAACCAGUGUGAUUGUCCCUAAAAAAGAACCACCGGUGGUAAUUUGUAGUUUUCUAUGUGGAAACCUGGGUGAUGGAUAGUCUUAUCAGGGUUGUGUGCCGUUCAAAAGGUAGAGGAAACUAGCUUAGUCCAAGAUUUUUAUGCCGCUGAGAUCUGGCAUUACUUUUUUGUUUUACCGCGUUCUGUUAUGAACUCACUCAGAAAGUAGUGCAAAUAAAAAAAAUGGCUUCAUGGAUUCUUCUUCUGACUGCCUUUCCUCAAAGGAAAGAUUAAUUAGUUUUACUUUUUUUUUCCUUAGUUGUCAUUUUAAUAUUUUUGUGUGUACUAAUGAAAGGUUGCAUUUAUUUUCCUUUACUUGGUGAUGGUAAGAACAUAUGCUGCUUGCUAUAUCUUGUUUUGGCCACGUUAAUAGCAAUUACCUUGGUUUUAACAAAGUGCAUAUAUAGUCUGAUUCAUCGUAGCCUUGUAGGCAAAACAUGCGGUGAUAAAAAUGUAGACAACUAUUUUCGCUAUGAAUUCCGAGUAAUACUAGAUAGUCUAACAUGGCUUCAGAUUCUUUUGUUGUUUCAUAUGUUAGUUUUCUUCUUCACAUGGACAAGGGGGCUAAGUUUGGCAUACGUUGUAUAUUUCUCGAUGUAAUAUCUCGUCACUUCCUUUUUUAUAGUCCUUAGUUGCUAGCUUAUAGGUCAAUUGUAGAGGUAGCACUUGUGUUCUCUGGGCUAAGCUUAGUUGGGUGUCAGGCCAAGCACCAAGCAGUUGACUGCAGCCUGGCAAGAAUCUGAGGUAGUAUGUUUUUUUUUUCUGUGUAGCGAUGCAUGGGCCUUUAGCUAUCUUCGAAGCGAAUAAUAAUUGAUUAAUGUAUUUCAAAGAAAGAAAGGAGUGCAAAACAACCAGAAUGGCCAAUGUUGAAGAUCUCAAGUUUUUUUUCAGAGUGAAGAGUACUCCAUAUAAAUUCGAUUGCAGAAGAAACA